GAGAGGCAGCGGCUGCCGAGCAGGCUGGGAUCGGAUGGGAGAGGUCUUUCCUGGGCUGUAUUUGUUUGUUUGUGACUGGAGCUGCAAAGUUCAGAGCCAAACGUGUUGCUUUCCGGCGGCGGCGGCGGCAGCCCCAUUUCACCUGCUCCGCUGACAGGGUGCCUGCCCGGCCCGGGGCGGCCCCGCCGCUCUGCGGGCCCUCUGCCUGGCGUCCUCCCUGCCGCUGGGGCCGAAGGACGGGAGAGGAGCGCGGGGCUGCGUCUCCUGCCUGCCCGCCUUCCCCUCCGCGGCUGCCGGAGGGGCAACGGACAGGUGUAUCUACAGAAAGACAGAAAAUUAAUCACAGGAACAGAACACUGGAUUUUCUUCUAUGUGCAGACUACGCUGAUUGAAGUAUUGAAUCCACUUACAGCACCACCUUCCUGUUAAUAUUCCAUUUCAAUAGAUUGCUAAAAGGAACUGCAAAAUACUUCAAAGGCAAUAACUUCAUGCUUUCAUUGAGAACAUAGAUUCUACAGCAAG